CCUACGGGAGGCAGCAGUGAGGAAUAUUGGACAAUGGGCGCAAGCCUGAUCCAGCCAUGCCGCGUGCAGGAAGACGCUCCUAUGGAGUGUAAACUGCUUUUAUACAGGAAGAAACACUCCUUCGUGUAGGGGCUUGACGGUACUGUAAGUUAAGGAUCGGCUAACUCCGUGCCAGCAGCCGCGGUAAUACGGAGGAUCCAAGCGUUAUCCGGAAUCAUUGGGUUUAAAGGGUCCGUAGGCGGUUUUAUAAGUCAGUGGUGAAAUCCCAUCGCUCAACGGUGAAACUGCCAUUGAUACUGUUAGACUUGAAUUAUUAGGAAGUAACUAGAAUAUGUAGUGUAGCGGUGAAAUGCUUAGAGAUUACAUGGAAUACCAAUUGCGAAGGCAGGUUACUACUAAUGGAUUGACGCUGAUGGACGAAAGCGUGGGUAGCGAACAGGAUUAGAUACCCUGGUAGUCCACGCCGUAAACGAUGGAUACUAGCUGUUGGGAGCAAUUUCAGUGGCUAAGCGAAAGUGAUAAGUUCCCACCCUGG
rnacentral:rRNA from 1 species